rnacentral:rRNA from 1 species
GGUAUCCUGUCUGAAUAUGGGGGGACCAUCCUCCAAGGCUAAAUACUCCUGACUGACCGAUAGUGAACCAGUACCGUGAGGGAAAGGCGAAAAGAACCCCGGCGAGGGGAGUGAAAAAGAACCUGAAACCGUGUACGUACAAGCAGUGGGAGCCUCUUAAUGGGGUGACUGCGUACCUUUUGUAUAAUGGGUCAGCGACUUAUAUUCUGUAGCAAGGUUAACCGAAUAGGGGAGCCGAAGGGAAACCGAGUCUUAACUGGGCGUUAAGUUGCAGGGUAUAGACCCGAAACCCGGUGAUCUAGCCAUGGGCAGGUUGAAGGUUGGGUAACACUAACUGGAGGACCGAACCGACUAAUGUUGAAAAAUUAGCGGAUGACUUGUGGCUGGGGGUGAAAGGCCAAUCAAACCGGGAGAUAGCUGGUUCUCCCCGAAAGCUAUUUAGGUAGCGCCUCGUGAAUUCAUCUCCGGGGGUAGAGCACUGUUUCGGCAAGGGGGUCAUCCCGACUUACCAACCCGAUGCAAACUGCGAAUACCGGAGAAUGUUAUCACGGGAGACACACGGCGGGUGCUAACGUCCGUCGUGAAGAGGGAAACAACCCAGACCGCCAGCUAAGGUCCCAAAGUCAUGGUUAAGUGGGAAACGAUGUGGGAAGGCCCAGACAGCCAGGAUGUUGGCUUAGAAGCAGCCAUCAUUUAAAGAAAGCGUAAUAGCUCACUGGUCGAGUCGGCCUGCGCGGAAGAUGUAACGGGGCUAAACCAUGCACCGAAGCUGCGGCAGCGACGCUUAUGCGUUGUUGGGUAGGGGAGCGUUCUGUAAGCCUGUGAAGGUGGCCUGUGAGGGUUGCUGGAGGUAUCAGAAGUGCGAAUGCUGACAUAAGUAACGAUAAAGCGGGUGAAAAGCCCGCUCGCCGGAAGACCAAGGGUUCCUGUCCAACGUUAAUCGGGGCAGGGUGAGUCGACCCCUAAGGCGAGGCCGAAAGGCGUAGUCGAUGGGAAACAGGUUAAUAUUCCUGUACUUGGUGUUACUGCGAAGGGGGGACGGAGAAGGCUAUGUUGGCCGGGCGACGGUUGUCCCGGUUUAAGCGUGUAGGCUGGUUUUCCAGGCAAAUCCGGAAAAUCAAGGCUGAGGCGUGAUGACGAGGCACUACGGUGCUGAAGCGACAAAUGCCCUGCUUCCAGGAAAAGCCUCUAAGCAUCAGGUAACAUCAAAUCGUACCCCAAACCGACACAGGUGGUCAGGUAGAGAAUACCAAGGCGCUUGAGAGAACUCGGGUGAAGGAACUAGGCAAAAUGGUGCCGUAACUUCGGGAGAAGGCACGCUGAUAUGUAGGUGAAGCGACUUGCUCGUGGAGCUGAAAUCAGUCGAAGAUACCAGCUGGCUGCAACUGUUUAUUAAAAACACAGCACUGUGCAAACACGAAAGUGGACGUAUACGGUGUGACGCCUGCCCGGUGCCGGAAGGUUAAUUGAUGGGGUUAGCGGUAACGCGAAGCUCUUGAUCGAAGCCCCGGUAAACGGCGGCCGUAACUAUAACGGUCCUAAGGUAGCGAAAUUCCUUGUCGGGUAAGUUCCGACCUGCACGAAUGGCGUAAUGAUGGCCAGGCUGUCUCCACCCGAGACUCAGUGAAAUUGAACUCGCUGUGAAGAUGCAGUGUACCCGCGGCAAGACGGAAAGACCCCGUGAACCUUUACUAUAGCUUGACACUGAACAUUGAGCCUUGAUGUGUAGGAUAGGUGGGAGGCUUUGAAGUGUGGACGCCAGUCUGCAUGGAGCCGACCUUGAAAUACCACCCUUUAAUGUUUGAUGUUCUAACGUGGGCCCCUUACCGGGGUUGCGGACAGUGUCUGGUGGGUAGUUUGACUGGGGCGGUCUCCUCCUAAAGAGUAACGGAGGAGCACGAAGGUUGGCUAAUCCUGGUCGGACAUCAGGAGGUUAGUGCAAUGGCAUAAGCCAGCUUGACUGCGAGCGUGACGGCGCGAGCAGGUGCGAAAGCAGGUCAUAGUGAUCCGGUGGUUCUGAAUGGAAGGGCCAUCGCUCAACGGAUAAAAGGUACUCCGGGGAUAACAGGCUGAUACCGCCCAAGAGUUCAUAUCGACGGCGGUGUUUGGCACCUCGAUGUCGGCUCAUCACAUCCUGGGGCUGAAGUAGGUCCCAAGGGUAUGGCUGUUCGCCAUUUAAAGUGGUACGCGAGCUGGGUUUAGAACGUCGUGAGACAGUUCGGUCCCUAUCUGCCGUGGGCGCUGGAGAACUGAGGGGGGCUGCUCCUAGUACGAGAGGACCGGAGUGGACGCAUCACUGGUGUUCGGGUUGUCAUGCCAAUGGCACUGCCCGGUAGCUAAAUGCGGAAGAGAUAAGUGCUGAAAGCAUCUAA